rnacentral:lncRNA from 1 species
UAAGAUUUUUCCAAAAGCUUUGAAAAUUGAAAGAAGUGAGGUCUCUUAGGUGAGGCUUGGACUUUGGAUCCAAGACACACUCACCGUCUACCAAUUUUAAUGAGAAAUUAAGAGCAAAAGGUUUACAAGUGAUGGAAGAACACUUGUGAAUUCUUCCAAGUCACUUGCUUAAUGGCCAUUUACAAGUAAAAAACCAAAGACAAAAUUUACACAAUUUUCAGCAAGGAAAAAUAACAAUGGAAGGGGUUUGGAAGUGCAACUUUGGCUUCUCUUCAANGGAAACUUGUUGGCACUAGAUGUAGCCACACAAAGCUCACAGUUGCAGUAAAAAAAAUGAGGCUAACUCAUGGUGUUUCGCACUCUGUCCAGCAGUUGUUGUUGCUGCAACAAAGCCUGGAGCAAAUUCUGCACUCUGCCGUGAGAAAUCUGCAACACCAAGCCACCCUUCAACCAACUUUAACCUCACCAAUCUUCUUUCUAAUAUGCUACCAACAAUAGGUAAUUGCUUGAAGCUUUUCUGCAGCCACAAAACACUCACAACAGCCCACCAAGAUCAAUGUUAAUUGCCACAGAAAUCAACUUAUUGCUGCUGCUGAAAUGACAGUACAGAAAUGCACCAAGGACUUAUAUCAAACACUUGGUGACAGAUUUUUCAAUCAAGGAAAUCAAGCAAGUAACUCGGUUUACAAUAAAAGUUGGCACUCAAAAGGAUCUUAGAAUGGCUCUAGAACAGAUUCAAAAAGCAAAUAAAAACACACAUGCUGCAGUAUAUCAAUCUCACAUAAAUUCUCCAAAAUUGGCAAAGUGUUUGAUGGAAUGUCUCAAAGAAAAUUGCAUAUAGAUGUUUCUGCUGUUACUGACUUGUUGGCUACUGGAUUGCGGGAGNUUCAAGCUUCUUUUAGAUGUUAUUUUUCAAUAGCAAUGGUUAGGAAAACAAAGAUAAUUUUCUCCCAGCUUUUGCCAAUCCACACAAUUAACAAUUAAACUCAAUUUUUAACANUGUUCAAAGCUGGCUGCACAUGGCAAUCUGGUCUGGAAAAUUUAAAACUGAUGCUUAACUGAUAUGAAAUAGGAUGUAUGAUGGUUUCCAGCAAGUUUAUAUGAUGAUAAUGGAUAGAUGCAGGCAGCUAAGUACUCACAGAACAAACUACAGCAGAAUUUGGCUAUGACACUUCCCAAAAGUGACCAAAAGUGAGGUAUUCAAGCAUGGGCUGUAAGCCAAUAUGAAAAUUGACCAUAUGAACAGUAACCUACCAGUUUUGAUGCACUUUUAACAGAUGUUUAGCUCAACAAAUCACCCUAAAACAGUUGUUUAAGAAAAUUGGCUAUGCUACUAAAUGAAUUCAAGCCAAAUGAGGAAGUGAUAUAGUGAUUUUGUGCAUUGGUGUAGAUCUGACCAUAAAAUCAGUUUGGACACAUUCUAAAUGAUCAAACAAAGUGGUUCUGAAGUUCCAAAUGCACAAAAACCAGCAACUAUGGAAUUUCACACUUCCACUUGCCAAAUUAUGCAGAAAAACAAAUAAAACUGCAGCAGUCCAAGGAAUUCAUGCGUGAUUGGAUUCAAAUUGGUUUAGUAACAAUGAAUUCAAGGAAACUAAGUCUAGAUCUAGCUUUAGAAGAUAAAACUAGCAGAAUUAAAAUAGCCUACUGACUUGCAAAGCAUAAGAACAUGGUGCAGAGUUCAAUUUUUUAACCAGAAACAGAGAAAUUGUUAUGACAGAUUUUAAUGCAGCAACUGAAUUGUUUUCAAUUCCAAACUUUAGAUCUGAGUUGGACUAAUUGUUGAAAUGGUAAACAUCAAUUCAAACCAUUCAAACAGCUUUCAAACACCUCUGAAUCAUAGGUUUAAAUGUCCAAAACAGAAACUGAUGCACAGUAAAUUCUGUUACGGUAUUUUCAGAAAUUUUCGUAAACCAGAUUUGGUUUUUGUUAUUCAAUGAUGCAAAUGGCUUGUAUUCACUUGAAACAAGUUUUAAAUCACCAAAAGAACUUGCUGCAGACAACAAACAUCACAGACCCAGCCAGAUUGAAAGAGUUGAAAUAAUUUCCAGAUUUGGAAACAAAAUCUGAUGCAGAUUUCACUAACACAGCAGAUCAGAAAAAUUUGCUUUAAAAUGCUAAGCUCAUUGAUCAAAGCUAGACAAAGUCUUCUUGCUUUUAAGAUCAAUAUAGAGCUAUCACAGCACUGGAUUCACUGGACACACACUCACUGAUUAAACACAAAAUUAUAACAGAUUUAAAACGGCAAUGUGCACAUGACAGUAACAAAACUGGAAAAUGAAGAUGAAGCUGAAUAGAAUGAAAAAAUACACAAUAUGCAACGAUUAAAAUGUGGAGAAAACACUAAGGAACAUGUGAAUGAUCACCAAAGACUCACUCACACAGAUUUAUCAAAGAAAAACUCAAUGAAACAGUGAAUUGAGAAGUGGAACAACACAACACAGAUGAAGCAAUGUAACAGUACUUAUCUGGAAUGUGAUGCAGAACCAUAGCUCUGAAUACCACUUGAUACGGCUCUCCAUUGCUUGGUUGAAGUGAGAUUCCGAGAAG